ACAUAAAAACGUUUUCACGCGAGAUUUCCGGUCUUCUUCUCCAGGCAGUAGAUAAGCGCGAGGAGCUUUUUUGACUCUCGCCAUGCAGUUCAUUUUUGUUAAAUUAUAUUUAUGUAUAAAUGUUGAGGUUGCUGCUGGUGACCCACCGUGAGCAGGUCUGGAUGAUGCAGAGGGACUCAUCUUUCUGCCUGCAACAGGGCGAAGUUUCAUUUCCUGAUUAAAGAUUCGUGGCUCAUCUGUUCUCCUUCCCACUGAGUGCCCAAGGAAGGAACCACAGUGAAAAGGUGCUGUAGUAGUAAGAGAAAGGAUGGAGAAGAUUUUUGGGCCUUGAAGACAGCAGGUCCUGAGCAGAUUGAGUUUGUGUGGAAGGACAGAAUACCAACCUCAAGUCUGAUGCCAGAGGAGAAUAAAUUCAGUAUUUGUCUUUAUGAAAGAUGAAAACCACGUUGGAUCAGAAAUGUGUUUUUAAUAAAACUACAAUGACGUAUAAAAUUCAAGUAUAAAAAGUAACAUGAGUCCAUAUGUGCUGGGAAGAACCCCCAGCAUGUGUUGGUCAAUCUGUGCUGAAAGAUGAUCUGUAAGAUUUCUUUUUCAGAUUUUCUAGAAAGUACUGCUCCUCUUGGAGAUAUUCACGGUCCUGUUGGGGGCAGAAAAACAAAAUCCAGUCAGUCAAAUCUGAACACUUGAAUUCUUGACAAAUUAUUUCAAGCAUUGCUGGCUAAAUAGUGAUUGUAUUAAAAAGCCGUGUGCACUGUGAUGCCUCAUGUUGACUGAGUUUCCAGAGCGCAAUAAAAGCCUGUACUGGAUCAUAA